rnacentral:pre_miRNA from 1 species
CAUCAACAAUAAAGUUGUAUAACUCAUUAAUAUCUAUAACUUUUAUUUUGGUCAUUUCUUCAUCCGAUAAAGUAAUAGUAAUAUUGUUCACAAAAUUUACAUAUAUCUCUUAUAGAUUAUAAAACAGUAUAAGAGAUAUGUAAAAUUUGUAAACAAUGUUACUAUCACUUUAUCAGAUGAAGAAAUGACCAAAAUAAAAAUUGUAGAUACAGAUGGAUUAUACAACUUUGUUGUUGAUG